GCAUAAUACCGCUUCGCCGGUGCCCCUCGGGGCUGAAAAGGGAACACAGCCGAGCUGUGGCUGCCCCCGCAACUGUAUGCAGCGAGUCCGCGCCUCAUGCGCCACUGGCCGUCUUCGAGGCGGACCGGGAAGGCCGGCGCCGGUCGACGACCUGCAAGCCAGGAGACCUGCCGGCCAAAACUUUCGCGC
rnacentral:ncRNA from 2 species